rnacentral:sRNA from 1 species
UCAAGGGGGAGUUCGAUUAAGAUCGCUACAUCGUGCAGCAACAUCGAACCAACCCACGUCGUGUGGG